UGAGGAAUAUUGGACAAUGGAGGCAACUCUGAUCCAGCCAUGCCGCGUGCAGGAAGAAGGCCCUACGGGUUGUAAACUGCUUUUAUACAGGAAGAAUUGUACCUACGUGUAGGUAUUUGACGGUACUGUAAGAAUAAGGAUCGGCUAACUCCGUGCCAGCAGCCGCGGUAAUACGGAGGAUCCAAGCGUUAUCCGGAAUUAUUGGGUUUAAAGGGUCCGUAGGCGGUUUUUUAAGUCAGAGGUGAAAUCCUACAGCUCAACUGUAGCAUUGCCUUUGAUACUGAAAGACUUGAGUUAUUAUGAAGUAAUUAGAAUGUGUAGUGUAGCGGUGAAAUGCAUAGAUAUUACACAGAAUACCAAUUGCGAAAGCAGAUUACUAAUAAUACACUGACGCUGAGGGACGAAAGCGUGGGUAGCGAACAGG
rnacentral:rRNA from 1 species